rnacentral:lncRNA from 1 species
CUCCGAUUUUAUUUCUGCCUCACACAGGACCUUGCAGGGUGACCUUGGGCCUCCCUCCCAGCUUUAGUUUCGUCGGAUCUGAAAUGGCGGCAGCAGUCUCCGCCUGGCACUCAUCAACCUGUGCCUACAGGCUGGCUCUCCUCCCCACAGUAGGACACUGGACAGAAGGCCAGGCCACCAGGCUCUCUGCAGCCCCAGGACCUUUCCCUGCCCCUGGCAGCGUGCUCUGUACAUCCAGACCCCACACUCAAUUGAUCCCUGCUGCAUCUGGUGGUACAAGAGAUUGAACUCAGGACCUCGUGCUUUUGAGGCGGGCAGUGGAACCACUGAGCUAAAUCCUCAGCCCUACUGUUAGGUUUUCUGAAAGACAG